GGCAGGGCCAGCCCUGGGAAGCUGGAGGAAGAGGCCGUUUUUCCAUUCUCCACUCAGGGCCUUGCUGGCCGCCUGGCCAGCCUGGAUGCUUCUUCUUGCGGCUAAUCUCCUGGGGCAAGUACACCAGGAUAACUACAGUCACACUCACUGACUGGAUGCAGAGGAAAGGCUCUAGAUGCACGAAGGGGAUCUGCUGAGAAGGAGGCUGCACAGCCCUCCAGUUGGGGUCGCUUAUCAGCUUGGCAUUGAGACCAGCUCUUGAAUUAGUUAUUUGCUUAGUCAGGAGCAAGUGGUGAAAAUGAGCUGAGGCUGAAUAUAGAGAUCAUACAGGACUAUGGGGAUCAGCCCAAAGGACCAAAGGACCAGAAAAGAGGUUU